AUGGAAGGGCCAUCGCUCAACGGAUAAAAGGUACUCCGGGGAUAACAGGCUGAUACCGCCCAAGAGUUCAUAUCGACGGCGGUGUUUGGCACCUCGAUGUCGGCUCAUCACAUCCUGGGGCUGAAGUAGGUCCCAAGGGUAUGGCUGUUCGCCAUUUAAAGUGGUACGCGAGCUGGGUUUAGAACGUCGUGAGACAGUUCGGUCCCUAUCUGCCGUGGGCGCUGGAGAACUGAGGGGGGCUGCUCCUAGUACGAGAGGACCGGAGUGGACGCAUCACUGGUGUUCGGGUUGUCAUGCCAAUGGCACUGCCCGGUAGCUAAAUGCGGAAGAGAUAAGUGCUGAAAGCAUCUAAGCACGAAACUUGCCCCGAG
rnacentral:rRNA from 2 species